rnacentral:rRNA from 1 species
UGCCAGCCGCCGCGGUAAUACGGAGGGUGCAAGCGUUACUCGGAAUCACAGGGCGUAAAGAGCGUGUAGGCGGGUUAAUAAGUCAGAUGUGAAAGCCAAUAGCUCAACUAUUGAACUGCAUUUGAAACUGUAAACCUAGAAUAUGGGAGAGGUAGAUGGAAUUUCUGGUGUAGGAGUGAAAUCCGUAGAGAUCAGAAGGAACACCGGUGGCGAAGGCGACUUCCUGGACUAUUACUGACACUGAGGAGCGAAAGCGUGGGGAGCAAACAGGAUUAGAUA